rnacentral:rRNA from 1 species
UACGGGAGGGGCAAGCGUUGUUCGGAAUCAUUGGGCGUAAAGGGCGCGUAGGUGGUUCUGUAUGUCUACCGUGAAAGCGUACGGCUCAACCGUAUUUUGUCGGUGGAAACUGCAGGACUUGAGGCUGGGAGGGGCUGGUGGAAUUCCCUGUGUAGCGGUGAAAUGCGCAGAUAUCAGGAAGAACACCUAUGGCGAAGGCAGCUCUCUGGGACGGUACUGACGCUGAGACGCGAAAGCGUGGGGAGCGAACAGG